AACUCAACGCACUCAUCGUUCCUCAAGCACCUUUCGGCCAGUGGACAGCCCAUUAACAACAUAUAACAAUCAGCACUUUCACUAACAUUUCUCCCCUUAAAUAGAGAAGGAGAGACCGAGUGCGAAAACAGAGACCGAGAGAAGGAAAUUGAUUAAGAGAGUGGCAGAAAUGGUAUGGCUUGAGAGAAGAGAUGAGUCCGAGAGGUGGAAAAACUGGGAGAUUCGGUUCUGCCAUUGACUCACAACACCAAACCCACCAAGCCGAUUACCGGCAGCAACCCAAUCCGUGAAGCUGGAACCCGUGGACUCCAACCCAAUUCUGGCCGUGACCCAGUGAAGCCCAUCCCGGCGACCCGAUCAACAGGAACCCAUUGAUCCGACGAUAACCGUGAACUGAACCCAGCAGUAUUUUCCAGCCGAGCUUGUGCGCCAAUAGCCCAGAAAACCCGAUCCUGACCCGCAUCCUCCGAACCACGAGCAGAUUUCCGGCGGACCCAGCCUAGACUUCGGCGAGCCCAGAAACCUCAACUCGGCAGAUCCGUGUGUAGUCCAGCCCAUCCCAGCAACCCGUAGCCGACCAUUGAUCGACAAAUUCCGCAGAACCCAGACUCGAGUUCCGGUUGUUUGUAGCAAGAGCCCGAGAACCCAGCCGGCCUCCGGCGUCAACCCAGUAAGUCGUGUGAACCACCGAACCCAGAAACCAUACAAAACCCGGUGAAGCAGAGCCGACCUCCGAUGGCUUGAUUGCUUCGGCAGUUCAGUGUUGGUUUCGGCGAGUUCUUCUGAAUUUCCUGGAAUCUGUUGAAUGGAAUUUAAUAAUCUCUCUAAUCAGAUCAUGAAACCAUGAUCCAAACCCAGCAACCCGGAACCCAGUCAGCCCAAACCCGUUAGCCCAGAACCAAAGCAAGCGAAGCCCAUGAUCCAAAACCCAGCCCAUCUCAACAAACCCAUCAACCUGUAGCAGAUUCAGACCCGUUAAGCCCAACUAACGACAACCCAAAUCCCCAACCCGUGAGCCAAUUAGCAGCGACCCGGGCCCAAACAGUGACCCGGAACCCAUGAACCACCAAACCCGAUCCAGUCCAUUUUCCGUUUGUGCAACCCGAUCGGCCCAGCCCAUAACAGAACCCCGCAGCCCAAACUGAUCAACUCAAUAACCCAUAGCCCAGACCUGGUCCACAAACUAAACCAUAAAGCCCGAUCAGCCCAACCCAGAAUCAGAAACCCAUAACCUGUGAAGCCCAGCCCAGAACCAGAAACCCAUUUAACCCAGAACCCGGUCAGAUCAUAACCCAUACCCGUGACCCGAACCCGGAAACCCAACCCGCCGGUGACCCAUCUCCGGCAGACUUUUCCGGCGACUUUCCGGUGACUUUUCCGGCGAAUUUCCGUGACCGAACUCAUUGUUUCACUGAAUUUUCUAGUGAAAAUUCUUAGUUAAUAAACUAAGAAAAUAUACAAAGAGGAUUAAAGCUCGAUUUCGAUAUUAUGGGAAAUCCAGGUUAUGAACAGAGAGACGUAGGUGGCCGGGAUGGGAUCUAGGAAUGCAUUAGGACAUUUCAUUUAUAUUACCCCAUAAUUUUCAGUUAUUGUAUUUUUACAAUUAAAUGACCGUUUCCGCAUUUAUUAAAAACUCUGAGAUUUUGAAACCAUUAUUAUUUUUAUUUAUUUAAAUCAGCAUACUAGUUAAGAUAUUUGGCAGACCUUACGAAUCUUUGCAGUUUAAAGAGAAAAGUGACGAACCUAACCCAUAGCGGUUUGGGGGCGUUACACCAUCACUGCGGAUUAAGUGGGCUUGUCUGACCUCAGUGCUCCCUUCUCAAAGCUCAAAGAGCAAAGGUCAAGGAAGAAGUGCCCAGACAAAGCAAAUUACAGCACAAGACCCUUGGCCCAGUAUCAGACUCCGUGGCAUUAGGUUCCUCAUCAGGCUCCUUAUCAAGCUCCAUGGAAUCAAGCCCCAUGGCAUCAAGACCCAAGGUAUCAUGCCUCACGACGCCAGGCUCCUCAGUAUUAGUGGCCUCAGCAGAGAUUUGCUCCUGCCAAGGAAAAUGAAAAAUAAAAGACUAACAAAUCCAAGCACUUCAAAAAGCCGCAAAAGGUGGAGGAUGAUCAAAACUGCAAGGAGCUACCCAUCUGGAUGCAGAGCAUGAUACAGUGGAUGGAUCAUCAGUUGAGAUCCUGCCAACAACCACCAAUAGGAAGGCAGGCAUGGGUCACGAAGAAGGAAGACAUUCACCCCUUGAGGGUGAAUGGACUCGCCUAGCUGGUGAGAAUUAUCAUGCCUAGUGUUUGGUUCCUAAUCCUAAGUGUGAAGCAUCCGGGCGGUCUAUCCUUGCAUCCGAACGGGUGCGGCUUAGAUGACCGGACUGUAAGGUUACACGUCUGGACACUCACGACCUGUCGCAUGCUUAUGUGGAAACGCGCGUCUGAACGAGUUAGUGAUUCGUCCAAACGGGGACCCCACAAGUUAUAUCUCGAUGCUCUGGAUGAUGCUCCACAGCCCCCUCCUAUUCAUGUUGUAGUACCUGAUGUAGCAUCCUCCUCUCAAACUGCUCUGCCACCUCCAUAGCAGGAUGCAGGUUAUGCUCAAAUUUUGAAGGCUUUGGCAUCUUUACAGGGGGCCAUGAGCUCUAUGCAGCUGGCGAUUUCAUCUAUAUAGCAGGAGGUUCACUCUAUUAACCUCUGUGUGGAGCAGAGCCAAUUGGAUAUCUAGGAGUGUCUCAAGCACCAUCAUCCAUCCAGUAGUGAUGAUGAGGAUGAUACGCCUAUGGCUGAGGAUGGUUGAUUUAUUUUGGUGUUUGGUUUUUAUUUAUUUUGAGACAUUUUAUCUUUCUUAUGUUUUUGUUACACAUUUCAGAUAAUUUGUUAAACUUUAGAACUUCUGGAUAUUAUUACUCUAUUUACCCUUGUCAUGCUGAGACAUUUAGGGGGAGUAAUUGUUGUGUGGUUUUUCUAAUUACUAUGUUUUACCCUUUGUCCUUUUGUGACAAAAAGGGGGAGUAAUUUUUGAUUUCGACCGAGAUUGUAUUUUUAACCGGUCAAGUGAUUUUUGUCCCAAAAUGGCCAAAGGGGGAGUUUGUUAGUUUGUGAUUGGCUACAUUCUGUUGGACAAAAUCACUUCUAUGUAAUGAUGCUUAUUAUACAUGGAUGUUGUUUUA